rnacentral:tRNA from 1 species
GGGCGGAUAGUUCAGCUGGUAGAACGCCUCGUUUACACCGAGGAAGUCACAGGUUCGAGUCCUGUUUCGCCCACCA